UACGUAGGGGGCAAGCGUUGUCCGGAUUUACUGGGCGUAAAGCGCGCGCAGGCGGACUGAUCAGUCUGGGGUGAAAUCUCACGGCUCAACUGUGAGCGGUCCCUGGAUACUGUCAGUCUUGAGAUGUCUAGAGGAGAGCGGAAUUCCCGGUGUAGUGGUGGAAUGCGUAGAUAUCGGGAAGAACACCAGUGGCGAAAGCGGCUCUCUGGGGACCAUCUGACGCUGAGGCGCGAAAGCGUGGGGAGCGAACCGG
rnacentral:rRNA from 1 species